rnacentral:lncRNA from 1 species
GACUUCAUCAAGUCUAUUAGUGAAAUGGGGAAUGAUGGGCAGGCAAUAAACAAUGUCAGAUAGUGAAAAGUGCUAUGUCAAAAAAUAAAAAUAAAGACAAGAUAUGAGGUUAAGAGGGUGAUAAUGGAAUAAGUUUAGGGUUACAGCAGUGGUUCUCAACCAGAGCAAUUUUGCCCUCCAGGUGACAUUUGACAAUGUCUGCAGACAUUUUUGGUUGUCACAACUGGACAGAUACUACUGAUAUCUACUGGGUAGAGACCAGCACUGCUGCCAAAGAUUCUGCAAUGCACAGAUAGCCCUGUCCCCCACAACAAAGAAUUAUUUGGGCCAAAAUGUACAAAAACUGAGAAACAUUGACUUAGCAGUAGAGAGAGGGUACAAUAGACAGAAUCUCCAAAGACCUGAGGGAGUGGGACAUUCACAUUACUUGGAGAACAGAGAGGGCAGCAAGAAUGAAAGCUCCAAGCCAGGAAGUGACAGGAAGCACUAUGCUGUGUGAACUUCAGAGGAAAGAAAACAUAGGCAUGAGAUUUUAAAAGAAAGAAAGAAGGAAAAGUAACAGAAAAUAAAAGAAACCCAAAUCCGUUUGCUCCUGUACUCCUGUAUUGAUAAUAAAAAAUGUGGAGGCUGAAAAUGAAAGUGUGCACUUUUUAAAAAAACUAUAGUUAUGUGCCCUCCCAAAGAUGUGUAAGCCCAGAUUCACAAGAGUAUAUUUGGCAACUGGUACUUUAGCUAUUCAUUUGCUUCCAUAAAACAGUAGGUAU